UUAUACCGCUUAGCGAUUUCAAUACAUGCCUCAUAGCUCCAGUCUCAAACUUAACCCCGUUCCUGCUGAAGAAGAGAAGGUCUGCUGGAUGGAGAAAGACGCUCUCGUGAAAGAGGAGGAGGAAGAGGAAGCUGUUACAAUACAGCUUUUUCGAUGUCACAUCGAAAAAUGAAGAAGAGGAGGAAACGGGAUAUCUGGGCCUGUUUCCCAAACGCAUCUUAAUGCGUCCGAUGGUUCUAACGCUGAACGGGCCCUGAUUAACGCUAGAGAGAGACGUGACUAUUGUGGAUUGUCUGGGGGGCCUAAACAACCUCAUGAGGCUGACGAGGCAGAGAAGACUCUCUCCACAUCAAAACACUUCAAGAAACACCAGCAAAGACCCACAGGGAAGAAAUCUCACUUCUGCUCUGACUGUGGGAAAGGUUGCACAUCUUCAUCAGAACUUAAAAUACACCAGAGAACACACACAGGAGAGAAACCUUAUAGCUGUGAUCAAUGUGACGAGAUACUCUGAUAAAAGAUCUCUGAUCAAACAUCAGAAAAUACAUGAAGGAGUUGUUUCAUGAUAUCAAUGAAAUAAUGUCACAAUGUAGAAUGUUUUAACAUUGUAGUAUGAGUAUUUUAAUGAUGUCACAAUGUAGAAUGUUUUAACAUUGUAGAAGGAGUAUUUUAAUGAUGAACUUAUCGUUUGCCCUGUUCAAUUGAUUGCAGAAUGUGGAUAUUAGCCUCAGGGGAAAAUCUAGGCUCUGAAUUGAACAAGUAUUAUUUAGCAAAAAGUGACUACCAAAAAAAGAGCUGUGUUACACUUACUGCGUUGGUGACCCACUUGAAUCAAAAUGCAGCACUUCAAAAUGUAGCCAGCUGUUUUCUACAAGUUGAAAAAGCUGCUUGUUUAAAAAAAUACAUGUAAUAUGAUAAUUGUUGCAGAUGUUUGUGUAUACACACAUGAAAGCAGUAUAAUAAAUUGGUCUAUUGUCAAUUUUAUUAA